CAGACAAGCAGGGGCAGCAAGAUGGAGUCACACACACAGGUCUUCAUACUCCUGCUCCUCUGGAUGUCUGGUGCUGAGGGGAACAUUUUGAUGACCCAGUCUCCCGAAUUCAUGUCCACAUCUGUUGGAGACAGAAUCACUCUAAGUUGCAAGUCCAGUCAGAGUGUGAGUGGUUAUGUAGCUUGGUACCAGCAGAAACCUGGGCAGCCCCCUAAACUGCUAAUCUAUGGUGCAUCCACUCGCUCCUCUGGGGUCCCUGAACGCUUCACAGGCAGUGGAUAUGGGACAGAUUUCACUCUCAGCAUCAGCAGUGUGCAGGCUGAAGACCUGGCAGUUUAUUACUGUCAGCAGUAUAACAGCUAUACUCCCACAGUGCUUCAGCCUUCAACACAAACCUCCUUGAAAGUCUCACUAGCUGCCUGCACCACACACAGCCCUGGCUCUGCACACUUCCUCCUUCUGCCUGAGAUCUGUUAUGCAUGA